AGUUCCUAGGUUGGGGAAAGGGUACUGGGGUCCAUUCCAUUCCGUUGAGGUUCUUGGCGGUGGCGUAGUUUGCCGUGGAAUCUGGAUUGCCUGGGGAUGUCCCGAUCCCUCUCCGGUAUCCCGGAGGGUGGCUUUGGGUGUCUCUCGGGCGAUGGGUGUAUCUCUGGAAGCCACCUUUCGGAUUCCGGGGGUGGUGGCCGAAGGAGCUUCACCGCCAAAACCAGUCGGCAAGACCUCCAUAGUUGGCAGACGGCCGUGGCGGUGAUGGUGGCGAGCAGGAGGCCCCAUUGGAUGGCACCUCGGCCAGUGGCAGCUUCGCAUGAAGACGCUGUACAAUGCAUCACGUGGAAAAGCGGCGCUGAUUGUAAGCCAGCACAAGACAAAUGUGCCUCUGCAUAAACUGUACACGCUGCGUGGUAAACAGUGUUUGUGAGCAACUUGCUAAUGUCAAAGCUAUGCCUGGGCCUCUUUGUAAUGUAUUUAUUGGUUAAGCUUUAUAGCUGAUGGUCUCAGGUGGUGAGCAUAAAUCUCAGCAUGUGUGAAGGAGAAUAUUCAACGUACUCUGUGUAAUGCAUAUCAUGGUAGUGUUCAACCUCGUAUGAAGUAAAUGUAUGGUCAGCCUGAGUUGAAGUUCAUUUCUGUCAGGGUCUAUUGCCCUUCACACAUUGUGUAUUAUUCAUUAUCCCUGCAGAUAUUCAGUGUGUGUGUGUGAGAGGAAGGAGGGGCGGGAGUAAGGAGUGUGUGUAAGGAAGGUGUUUUUACAUUUUUGUCCACACCUCUUUAUGUACACACCUCUACAUGGAGAUCUAUAUUUAUGUCCUGUCUUUUUUAACAUUUUUUUUACAAAUUUUUAAGGCUUCCAGUCUUAGCAAUUUCUUUUAAUUCUUUCUGAUUUCCCUUUCAUAACUUAUUUAAUAAUAUGAACUGAUGUUUAUGCUGUCAUAGGCACAAUACAAAGACAUCUUUCUUUUUCCCAUAUAUCUUAAUGAACAUGCAUGACAGGAAGAGCAGGGAUGGUUCACACUUCACUAAGAUAUUUAGAUAACGUCUAGCUCUGCAGGCAAACUCGUUUAGAUUGGAUAAAAUUUAGCUGUGCAGGGAACCUCGUUAAGAUUCUUAUUGUAUGGGUUCAUAAUGUUUUUGUGAUAUUUGCCAUUCCAUGUUAGAAUAUUUUUGUGGUGCUGUAGAUUUUUUUUUUUUUUUGAGUGACCUUGAGAUCAACUGUGUGAAUACUGCCAACUUGUUUGGGAGGUCUGAGGACAUUCUGUGGACGCUUUAAUUUUUUUUUUAUUACAUGUUUGUGCAAAAUCAGAUUGUGCACACACAUUUGUUUAGAUUAUAUAUCAUGCCAUGGGGUAUAUCCUAAUAUAGUGUUUGUGAAAUUUAAUAUUCUAUGAUAGAAUGUUUUUAAGAUAGCAGUGUUCAAAUAACUGUCCAGUUUCAGCUCACUGAUGGGGAUAGUUGUUAAGGACGUACAGCUACUUCAGUGGUAUAUUCUGUGGUUCCCUCACUUUUAUAUUACUGCUAUUUAUCAUUUUUAUGCUAAAAAAAAAUAUUGCAAGUCACACAUAAGGAAGGAUGGUUUGGACAACUGCUGAAGCUGUCCUGCAUGUUAGUAUGUUUGCCUUUGAUCUUGCAAAUACUCUUUUCGUCAUUUGCACAAGAUUAACACAGAUUCAUGUUAAACACACAAGUUUCUGUAAUUGUUUUGGCAGAAACACAUGAUGUGCUGUAAAUGACUAAGCUUAUGAAGGAUUUUGCUAAAAAAAAAAAAUUUAAUAGAAUUUUUUUAUUUUUUUUUUAUGAAAUUGUACCUAGACAAUACAUCUUGUGGGUGAGCUAUGGUCAUAUUGAUGGAAGAUGAUGUCUUAACACAGCUUCACACUAGUCUUAACACAGCUUCACACUAGUCUUAACACAGCUUCACACUAGUCUUGGGAGUACAGGGUCCAUGGGUGUUCAGGAAAUACACUACCCACCAUCCCUGCUAAUUCCUAGUUUAGUUUUAGUAUUUUCUUUUUCUUCUGGUGUUCCGAAGGGGCAUUUCUGGAGCAUCUCGUAUUGUAUUUCACAUUUUUUUAACUUUGACUAGAUUUUUUGUUGUAGGUCUUGUAACUUUUUUAUGUUUAAUCUUUAUUUUUAAAAGUGGUGACACCGUACUACAGCUACGUAGUCUGUGAUGAUGUGUUUUAGCAUUUCACAAUACUGCUCUUAAAAGUAAUUUUGAAGUUUGCCAGGAUUAUGUAAGUAUCUUUCACUUAUAUUAAUGUGACUUCACGAUGAAAACCAUAAUCACCCCAAGGUAUUUCUCUAUCAUAUUCUUAAUAUUUUGAUCACGCACUUCAGUAUUCCUCGUAAAGAUUUAUUUUCUGUUUUCAUCCAUUUUUAUUGGAUUACAAUUAUCUACAUUAUAUUCUGUUUAUUGGUACAUUUGCUCAUCUUAUAAAAAUCCUUUUACAGGGCUUCGAUAGUCAUUUCAUAUUUUUAUUUCGCUGAGAAUGUUUAUAUCUGCAAACACACACACAUAUACACAGUAAUUAAUGACAUUUGGAAGUUAUUAACUACUGUUUGAAAGUUUAGCCUUUGUUUGUUAUAAUCAGAAUUACAAGUGACAAAGGAGACAGAUUUGAAGUAACAGUAAAUCCAAGGUCUUUUUCUUUAAUGGUUUCUGUGAACUUCUUGCCCUCCCUGUUCCCGUCCCCAUCCCCAUGUAGUACUCUGCUUUCAACCUUCUUUUCCUAUCUUCCAGCUCCAUAACUUUGCUUUUGCUCGUGUCAUAUUCUGGCCAUUUCUGAAGUCCACCCAUUUUUUUCAGUCUUCUUUUAUCCUCUUUAGUGUGUAUUCUCAUUAUGGUGUCAGCAUUAUGCACAAAUAAGGUUAUGUAGGAGUCGACUCCUGUAACCUUGGUUCUGAUAAUGUUCAUAUUCACUUUUUUCUUUUGUUCCCAAUAUUUUCUCAUCUAUUCCAGUACCUUCAUUUGUGUGUGUCGGCUAAUGCAGCAGGUGUAACCAAUGCCUCUCUAAUAUAUUAUUUUUAUCUUAUAUGUUAUUUUUUAUCUUAUACUUCUCUGCCUGGUUAUCCCUUCCCUUUUUCAAGAAUAUUUUAAUGUUUAAAACUGGUUUUCAGGUGGGUUGAGGGAGGUGAUUGAAUACAAUGUUAUUGUGUUUGAAGUGGCAAAGAUUCUAAGGUUAAAUUUUGUCUUGAAUAAUAAUUGAUAUCCACCAGAUCAGUCAUGACAAACUACUUCCUCUGUCUUUUUAUACAGUAUCCACUGAAAAGAUAUCUAACACAUCUCUUUUACAAACUAGAAUUAUCUAGUCAAAUGUUUUUUUUUCUUAUGUAUCACUGAGUACAAGUGGAAGAAUGAUCUCAUAACUGUUUAUUUACCCUCAUUAGUUUCUCUGUGUAUUUUUUUUAUGCUAAGUUAUUUUAUUAGGAUAACUAGAAAGAAGAGAUAUAUUGACAAAUUUUUCUAUUUUUAUAUGUAAAAUUUAGUUAUUUAAGAUAUAUCUGUAUUGUAGUCUCCUUGUUUUGCAGUUAUAUUACAAACUUUUGGUGUUUAUUCAUACCUGUUUUCUUGCAUUGUUUUCAAACAGUAAAUGAUUACCUAUGGAGAAUCAAGAUAAAUUACAUGUUUAAUGUUAAAGUAGCAACUUCUUGACUUUUAGUUACAAACAAAAUUAAAUUUAAAAAAUGCAUGUCGGAUAACUAUUGUGUGUCUCAGCCUCCUGGUAUAUACAAAUGAAAGAAUUUUUGUAAAUCAUUCUUUGGUGUUUUAUUUUUAUUGUAUUUUUAUGUAUAGUUAAACCAGAAAAUGUGCCUGAGUAAUUUAGAAUUAUACUGUAUAUUGUCCUCAGUGUUAGAAGUUUUGAAGACACUUCUGUCUCAAUAUAUCAUAAAUUUAUUGAGCUGUUCUCCCUGAUUAACUGGAGUGACUUAAAAAAAAAAAUCUUCAGCAUUGAAAUAUAAAGUGAGCUAUUGUGCUGAGUAGACUUAUGUCUUUUAACACAUUUUGACAACACAGGAAUGAUGACAACAACAGCUCGCUACGAAGUUGUCAUGUUAACUAUACAAGAAAAUAAAUCUCAGACAAGAGAUUGAUUUGGCUUAUGUCAUUAACCACACUUAUAAUUAGAAUCCUAUCUAGUUUUGACUUUUCUUUUGAUUAUAUAGACUGCAUUUUUUUGCUCGGGUACGGUACAUUGAGUUCUUAUGUGUAGACGUGUCUAUUGAAAACCUUAAACUAAAUAAUACAUAAUGACUAGGAAAGAAAAAUCACUCAUUGUAAAGUGACAAAUCAGUGAGUGCAUAAUUUAAUCGAGAAUUUUAUACACUUUUACAAAUAUGAGGAAUAACGAAUUAAUCGUAGGGAUCCAUGGCUAAGUGUAAACCUGCUGGAUUGUCAUUAGAGAUAAGAACUUAUCCCAUUAAAAGCCAGGUCUUGCUCUACUUCUUUAAUAUAUAUUUACCAUAGUUAUAUAUUUUUGGAGUGUGGUAUUAAGAGCCAAGAAGUGAAUAUAAAUUUAUAAAAAAAAAAAAAAAAAAUCAUAUACAGUAAAAGUACUAUAUUAAGCAACCCAUUGUAUUGAGGAUUCUUGCCAGGAUUGAAUGAUGUUUAUUAAAGGAGGUUUCCAUAUGUUAGUGCAACUACUUGAUUAUAAAAAGUUAAAGAGGUAAUCAUUGCUAUUGCUUAAGCUCAAGUUAUUGCUACAGGUUCAUAUAAUUGCCAGGUGUUGUACACAAACACUUUGUUUGCCUUUAACAGUUUUCUCAAAGAAAGUUGUUUAUAACCUAUGUACAUGAAGUAGGUGUUUAAUAAACUGUUUUGUAGCCACUGUUAUGUGCAGUAUUCAGUAUUGUGGGAACUAGUAAUGUAGAUUUGAGAGAAUUUUGUGCCAGGAAAAGGUAUUGUACAAGUUUUAUAACAAUCUUUCCUUCUCGAGUACAGUACUGCCAUUCCUGAGGCAGGAUAUCACAAGAUUCUCAUGCCUCUUCACCAUAGAGGAAUUUGAAAACCAUUUCUUCCUUGUAUGGCAUUGUAACUUGGUCUAUAUUUUCCUAAUCUUUUAAAUGUCUUUGUGCUCUGUCAUUAGCCUGCUUUUUAACAGGUUUUACAUGGACAUAGACAUAUGUUAAUCUCAUUUAUUUUAUUUAAAACAGUUAGAUAAGAAUGUAGCACAAGCUAUCUUUCAUUGCUUUGGUUAAGUGUCAUGCACAGCAGGACAUAUUAAAUAUUUGAAAUUCAAAAUGAUUUUGAUUUUCAAACCCAAGUGUUUGAGAUAAAGGCUGACCAUUUGUAAAUUUUCAGUACAUGUAUAAAUUGAUACAGAGAUGGUUAAUAAUAAGGAUUUUGAUAUUUCAUGUUUAUUUUGAUUUUGUGACAGAUGGAAUAGGUUGUUUAUUAUUAUAUUCACAGGGACAUGCUUAAACUUUAUGCAUCUCUAACCAUAAACUUGAGAUUAUAUACCUGAUUUUUCACCAUACCUGAUAUCAACUAGUGACCACUCUGCCUCUACAUCUGUACAACAACUAUAGCCAUCCACAUCAACCCAGUAGGGCCACAACGUUGUCAGCUUGUUCAGCAUUCUUCACGGUGACAAUGCACAUCCCGCUUGGAAGGCAUGUGAAUGGAUAUAUUUUGACCAAAAUGCAUUAUGAGUGCUUUGCUAAUGCCAUGGUCAGGUAAUCAGUAGGUGUGGUUGGUUGAAGUGAAAAGAAUUUUAUAAAGGAUUAACUUACUUUCCAGGUAGCAUGUUUCUUAGGAUAGGAGUGAGGCGUGGUGUCAGUAAUAGUGUCGGGAUUGUCAAGUAUGGGUUGAGGUCGUUUAGACGAUGGCUAUGAGCCAAUCCUUCCAUGACAUGUGAAUGAUCCAGAAAUUGACUCUGUCAUGAGAGAAUCCAGAUUCAUGGUUAAAGUAAAGCAAAUGUCAGAGGUAUCAAAUGGGCCACCUGGAACACUGGUACCAGAAUCGGACAACGUAUACUCCAAAAGCAGUACUAGGUUCAAAGGAAGGUCUGUGGGUGUGCCUGGGUCAGGUAAGGUGCCACAGGGGUAAGAGGCAAACAAUGUGAAUAUUACUGAGACUGUUUUCUUAUUAAAAAUGAGGGUGGGAGAGGGGCAGCUUAGAAGAGAUGCAAAAGACUAUAUUUCCCUCUAGAACCAAUAGUACCAUCAAUGCUACCAGUAGUACUGAUGCUGAUGUUGCUUGGAAACCAUCCCAGCACUGUAUGGCCCUUGUGGUUUAGCACUUCUUUUGAUUAUAUAAUUGGAAACCAUCCCAUACCCUACCUGGUACAUCAGGAUGGCAUCUCCAGAGUCAACCAAACCAGGCCCAGCCAACAGGAAAUGCCAGGAGUUGUGCCAUACCCCUUUGGCCAUCACCUCCCAGAACCAUAAGACAGCAUCCAGGAAUAAUACUGUCAUCCAAGUACACAGCAAAGCCACUCACCAGGGCCCCAGAGGAUGGCCCAGCAUGCGUCUCAAUUUUCACAGCUAACAGCACCACACCAUAGAGGUCCUCAAUGGAAUGGGAUGGAUAAUGCUCCCUUUUCUCUCUGCCUAGGAUCUGAAAUUCACAAGGAAGUAAUAUCCCCAAAUAUGGAGGCUAAAUAAGGAGAGAGGUAGGGGUAUUUAGAUUCACUCUGAGGAAAGAUUUCACCUCAUCAUGGGACCCCUCCUUGAAGAGGUUUCAUGUCAAUAAGCAACAACAACUGGAAUGUAAGGUAAACUUAUUUCUCUGUACAUAGUCUAAAAAAAAAAAAAAAUUUGCAAAUUUCCUUGUUCUUCACUUCUUGUACCACUAUAAUCAUUAGCAGAUAACAUACAGUAUCUAAAUAUGUGCAGCAACUUGGAAUGUGAAGUUGCAUAAUAUAAAAAAAAACACCAAUACAAUAUGCAACAUUUCUUUAUUUACAUAAAUAUAACUCAUACAUUUACAAUGUGGUAAUUCUUUAGAAUAUUAUAGGAACAACAAAGCUAUAUAUUACUAUUUUACGUCAUCUAUAUCGCUAACUUUUCAGAAUGUCUUGGUUUCUCCCCCCUUUUUUCUAAACACUAGUUGCCUCCUGCCACAGCAAGGUGACCCAAAAAAAAAAAAAGGAAAUUUUCAACAUUCAAUCAAUCACUGUCUUUCUAGAUUAAUCUCUGACUGCAACAUCCCUACCUCUUCUUCAGUGCCCUUCCCACCUCCAGGACUCAUGUCUGGGUUAACCAGUUUCCCUAUGUUUUUUUUUUUUUCAACACGGCAGUCUCCAAGAGCACAUCCAUUAAAAAC